AUAACCAAAUUUUAGAAAUAUAAACACACACCAUAUUAUUUCAUUCCAAAUUAAGAGCAAAAAUCUCAUAUAUAAUCAUGCACCACAUAACAAUGUUUUUGGUCAAUAGUUUAAGUAAGGAGAGAAGGAGCAAGCAAGCAAUAUAGAUGAUAGUUUCAUUCUCUCUCUUUCUCUCUCCUUGUCUUUAGGGGAGAGAGGGUAUCAGAUGCCUUCAGAUAUUAAACUCAUUGUCUAUCAGGAGUUGCAAACUAUAAUGCUAAUAGGGCCAGGUAAGAAUUG
rnacentral:lncRNA from 1 species